rnacentral:lncRNA from 1 species
CAAACUAAUAGACGGUGACGAUAAUAAACUAAGCUUAAUAUUUGAAAUGCAAUCUCUCAUUCUGGUAUUCAAUGGUUUAGGUCAUGUUUAAAUAAACCUUUUCAUAAACAUUUAAGAAAAAAUUUAAGAAAAUAAAAUGAAUUAAACUCACAUUAUACAUAAGCAAAAUUUAACUUGUAACUUUAAUUUUUAUAGCAAUCUUUUUCAUUUAACUUCUUCAAAAUACUAAGGUGCAUAAUUUUCUAACUUGUAGAGAAGUUCAAUAUUUUUUUACCUUGAUAUUUUUUUAUCUCCUAUACAUGGUUAUGGAGAAAUUUACCCAAAUAAAGGCUUAGGUUUCGAAUUUUUGCUAAGAAUUAGAGUCAUAACACUGCUCUACUUAAUAGUUUUAUCUAUUUUCUUGAUGAAUCGAUAUUGAUAUGCUUCAUGCACAGAUGUAAUGUGAUCCAUUUGAUCAUUGACAUUCCAUAUGGAGAACCUCUUUGUGGCUUUAUUCUUGAUACCCCCAUUUACGCAGGGCUUUCUCUCAAGGCUGACCUACACUGAAAUUUUUGCCCAUCUCCAUAUUCGUGGCUUUUAAUGCCAUACACAUGCCUCUUUUUCUUUUCCUCCCCCUUUUAUUUUCUCUUUCCGUGUUCCCUUUCUUAAAAUUUCAACCAUUUUAUAAGCAGAUACCUAAAACCAUUGAAGGGGCAACAAAGAUUAGAUAAGAACGACAACCAAACAUGCACCACAGGAUCUUGAUCUGAUGGUGUGAAAUGCGCUGCUUUAGUAAAGGAGAUUUAGACAAAUUUCUGUAAAGAAGCAUAAAUGCAACUUUGUUUCAAAAGCAUAUAAGCAUGUAAAAGAGAUAAAAGAAAUGUAAUGCACAAGAAAGAAUACCACCAUCUGCAUGACUUUAAGAUCUAUACACAUCUCAAUCUCAUCGACCAUUUCACCACCUCAACAAUUAAAAGCCUAAAAUAAUGUAAUGAAAAGUUCCAAGAAUAUAUAGAAGUGCCCAACCAAAUACGCAACUAAGAAACAAAAUUGGCAUUUUCAGUCACAAUCUAAAAUUACAUACUUCAUAUUUGUGCUAUUGUGGAUUGAAAAUCUAAACUCAUGGUCUAUACGGCUCAUAAGUACAAAGGUGAAGAAUAAGAAAAACAUGAAGAGCUAUUAUGAAUAAAAAACCAUUCAAUGGGUCCAUGCAAAAAGAUAUAGUGAAUAUAAAUUUAUCUAGUGGGUUCCCCCGUACCAGAUUGAACCGACAUAGUGCUGCAGUAAAACAUGAAAAUCAUCAGUAGCACAUAAUAAUCAUCAUCCCCUCAUUAUCAUCUGCUACUUGGCACUCAUCAUGAGUGACUGAUGAGUUAUAAUAAUUCAUAAGAACAUUCUCUGACCUCUGAAGGCACAAAUUACAAGAACAAUAGGGAAAAAAAGAUAAAGUGUGAUUUGUCAAGAAAGAACCAAAAGCAGGUUCAACUCAACCGAGAUCCACUACAUACCAUUCCCUAACAAACCCCGUGUGCAUUGUACAAUUAUGGGCAUCAGAUGUUACUUAGUGACCAAGAUGAUUGUAAAAAUUGGUUGAAUUUUGACGAAUAUACCUAAAGUUUAAUGCAACCUUGAACAAGUAAAGUAACCCCCAAGGUUUUAAUGUUGCUGAGAAUAAAUUUUCUAUACUCCUAUAAUUCUUGUUAAUUUGUCAUUUUGUUCUAAGACCAUGGGUAUUUCUUAUAAGAGGUGAUUGGAGUUGAGAACAUUUAUAUAGCUCUAAGUCUCUUAAUGAUUUUUUUUCUUUGAAUUUACUAAAUUGAGGCCUUAUUUAAGAGAAUAUUUAUAGUCUAUUUUGUAAAUUUUUCCAGGAUCUCAUAGGCAAUUCGAGCCCAAAACACUUAUUGGCUCUAACUCUUUCAAUGAGUUUUUUUCAUAUACAAAUCUCAAACUCAUACUUUAUUUAAGAAAAAUCAGAGAUAUAUAUUAUCUGACUAAACAAUUUAUUAAUCUAUUCAUUGGCAUUUAAAAUUUAUUUCAGAGAUAUAUAUUAUCUGAAUAAGCAAUCCAUGUUAUUUCACACUUUGAGAAAGAAAAGUGAGAGGAAAAAGAGAAGUAGAUUUUUUUGUUUUUGUUGUAUCAAAAGUUUAUCAAGGUUAGGACAAACUUGAAACUCAAAGAGUACUUACAAAGUCCUCAUCAAUAACUAGAUUACAGUUCACGUUCUUGUUCUUACCGGAGAUGAAUCCUAUUUUUAUCAAUGAUAUAACUUGAUAAAAAAAAAAAGUGAGAGAUUGAAAGAAUUUAUUUUUUUUACACAAGGGUGUUGGUAGUCCAAUUUGGUUCAAUUUUUAGACAAAAUGUUAUCCAAAUCAAACAUAAAAUAAAUAUAAGGUUCAAUUUAAAUAUAACAUCAAAUUUAAACCAAACCAAUUAUUUAUUGUUUGACUCGAUUUGGUUUUGGGGUUUAUUUUUUUUUAGUCUAUUUUCAUAAUUUAAAGCUAUCAAUUAAACUUACUCAAGUAUUAUGUACGUUAUAUAAUUUUAAAAAUUAAUUUUAUUUUUAUUAAAUUUUGUUUAAUAUAUUUUAAUUAAAAAUUAUUAUCUUCACUUCUAUUUAGUAUUAAAAUAUAAUAAUAUUAUCAACUUAUUUUAUAAUAUAAUAGUAAUUUGUGUAUCCCAUGAUAUUUAAUAUUUUUUUUUAACAAUAUAAGUACAUGAAAAUAAAAUAUACAUCUUGAUUAUAAAUUAAAUAAAAGUAAUAAAUUAGUUAAUACUCGUUAUUAAUUAUCACAAUAAAAAAAUUAAUAUAAUUAUGAUAUACUGAUUUGAUUUUUAAAACAAGAUGUGAAAAUCGAAAAACAUGUGAUUUUUCAUAUUUUUGGUUCAUGUGAUUUUUUAUUUAAGUGAUUUUUUAUGUUUUUGUAUCAGCAUGUAGAUUUAUAAAUGGUUUUGAACACCCACUCAUAUAUCAUUUCUCAUAUAAGACAGCUUUUAUUAUUUAUUUAAAUAAAAAGCUGAGGGAAAGAUCAUUGAUAUGUCUCAUAUUCUUAAUUCUUAAUAUGACUGCUUUUAUUUUAGAAAUAAAAAAGUAAUCCCAGUCCAUAUCAAAGGAAGGAGUAUGCAAGACAAUUUUUUUCCACAAUGUGUGGAGAACAAAACUGCAACAGUAAAAGCUACAUUUUUUUUCCCUUAAUUUCGACAAUCACGACAAAAACUACGAUUUAAAUCCAUGCUCACUACAUACAAUAAACAGAAACCAAUGCAACAAAAAGGGAAAAAAAAUAACAACUGAAAGUUUUUCUUUUUGUCCAUAACAAUUAAAAAGGUUGAAGCAGAACCUUAGGCAAUUUUCAAAACCUUGCAUUUUUUGGUGUGAUUUUGGUUUAUUUGAGCCCAGAAAAAAAUCGUUCAACAAUUCCAAAGCUGAAAACAAGCAACAAAUCCUUUGGCAAACAAAAAUCUGCACUUUUCUGAGAUUCUGGACGCAUGGCAAAAAUCUCCAUAAAACCCUAACAACUCAAUUAUCACAAUUCACACAUCUUUCAAUCGAACAAAGCAAAAAGCAAAGUGGUCGCCUUCAUCAUCAUCUUUACCUUUAACUUUUGCUUACUCUACCAUAUGCCCAAACCCAAUGCUUCUUUUUUUUUUUCAGAACCAUGUUCCUCCUUUUUCGCACCGUAUAAGAACCCUAAAAACCCAAACCCUUCAAUUCCAGUUUCCAAUUUUCACUCCCACAAACAAAUUUUCAAUCAAACCAAAACACACAGAAAUGGAGAUAUUAUCACAAAUGUGGUCUCUGUUAGGGUUACUUACCGUUCUCCAGAACGUUCUUCCAUCACAGCUUCUCUCGUUGCUUCAUUCACUAUACGAAUCUCUUCAAGAUCUACUUUCUCCGUACUCGUAUUUCGAGAUUCCGGAGUUCAACGGCUACUGCGGCGUCGACCUCAACGACCUCUACCGCCA